CAUGAGAUCCCUGGAAUGAUCCUGGUAACUGGAGAAGUCACCAAGACCAGUUACUAUUUUAAACUCCUGGCCAAGCUCUGGAAAUCUUCCACAGGGACUGAUCCAGCACAGAAUCAGCACCUUAUGGGGCCUGAGUCUGCUCCUAAUCUUUCCAAAUCUCCAUGGAGCUGUGCCAGGGAGGCUCAGGCUGGAUGGCAGCAAGGCUCUCCCCUCACCCACAGGCUGCUGGCACUGCCCAGGCUCCCCAGGGACUGGGCACGGCCCCAGAGCUCCAGGAGUGUUUGGGGUGCCCAGGCUGGGAUUGCUGGGGGUCUGUGCAGGGCCAGGAGCUGCAGCCAUGAUCCCAGGGGCCCUUCCAGCUCAGGAGACUCCGUGGAAAGCUGUGCCAGAGAGGUUUUUCACUCUGCCCCAGCCAGGCAAGAGCUCUGAGCUCUGCCUGCCCUUUGCCAUUUCACCAGAAGGUUUUUUUCUCACACCUUCCAGCCUCCCCUCCUGCCCAGAGGAGGCUCGGGCUCCCCAGGCUGACUCCAGGGGAAGGAAUGGGGUGGGUGGGUGCUGUGACACCGGGGACAGCCACCCCCAGAGCACUCAGGUAGCAGGAGGACACAGGAAAGAGACGCUGAGAGGGAGCAGGAGGAGCAGUCCCAGCCCAGCAGCUGCAGAGCUGCCAGCUCUGAGCAGGCUGAGAGCUGCACUUCCUCCUGACAUCACCUCACCCUGGCUGCGGUGACAGCCCUCGGUCACGGCUUGUGCCACGUGGGGUUGGUUUAAAGGCACCCCUGACAGAAAUGACAACUUUGGUCAGGCUUCAGGCCCUGCAGCCAUUUAUUACUGUCGCUCUCACAGUGCCUCUGCUCCAUCAGGGACUAACAGGCACUAAGAAACACAAACUUCCCACUUCCACACCUCAUCCAACAGCAAUAUGUGUGGCACUCAAAUUCCACCUAAAUCCGAGCCUUUUUCGUCUGAGAUUUUCAAGCUGGCCGCCAAAGUUUCAUUUCCUGAGACAACUGAUAUUUAUUUGCCCAAGUUUCCCUCCAAACCAGAGUUAAGGUGCAGGUAAAAAUAGCCCAGGAGGUGAUAAUAAUGUCAAUACUGGUUAUUGCGGUGCUGGAGGCUGGGGAGGAUCAAAACAAGGAGCAGAGAAGUCCAUCAGGAGUGAGGGGAGGGUACUGGAAGGAACAGAGCAGAGAGAGCAAAAGAAAAGUUCAAGUAGAGAAACACAGCAGCAGCCAGGAAAGACAACACACUCCUGCUUCCAAUAACAUUGAAUCAAAGAGACACUUAAGAGCCUUUGUUGCUACUCCUGGUCACACAGAGGCCACAUUCCUUCCCUGAGCCUUCAUAAACCCCCGACAUCUGUGGAUUUUCCGUGAAAAGGAGGUAAAACUCUACAGCCCGUAAAUGCAAUUGGGAGCAGGGCUGUGCUCCCUAUAAAUAGGGCCAGGAGUGAGGGGCUGCUGCUCCGGGCCCAGGCUGCUCUCACUCAUUAACUCACUCUAUUAACACCUCAAUUAGUUCUUCAGGAAUUCUGCAUCCAGCAAAACAAGACCUCCCACAAACCUUCCUCUCUGUAAAGUUCUCUGAAGUUCUGUCAACCUGGCACAGGCUCCCCAGGGAAUGCCCGAGCUCCAGGAGGG
rnacentral:lncRNA from 1 species